rnacentral:pre_miRNA from 1 species
AUUAAGUUCAUUUUUCAGUUCUUUCGACUUUUCGUCUUAUUUAAAAAAAUUACGAUUAAUUUUUUUAUUGUUACUAGAUGGUAAAAUAUGAAAAGUAUUUUAUAUGUGACUAAAUUUUUUUAGGUUUUUAUACAAUUUUUUUAAAUAAGACGAAUGGUCAAACAUUGGACACAGAAAUUGAAAAAUAAAGUUAUU